rnacentral:rRNA from 1 species
UACGGAGGGUGCAAGCGUUAUCCGGAUUCACUGGGUUUAAAGGGUGCGUAGGUGGGUUGGUAAGUCAGUGGUGAAAUCUCCAGGCUUAACUUGGAAACUGCCAUUGAUACUAUCAAUCUUGAAUACCGUGGAGGUCAGCGGAAUAUGUCAUGUAGCGGUGAAAUGCUUAGAUAUGACAUAGAACACCAAUUGCGAAGGCAGCCCGCUACACGGUUAUUGACACUGAGGCACGAAAGCGUGGGGAUCAAACAGG